UUGAGCUUUCAAGGUCCAUCUUCCUCCUUUCCUUCAGUCAGCUGUUGUUUAUCCCAAACUCGAGUCAUGUCCCUAUGCUUAUAUAUUCUCAUUUCGACUCUUCGGUCCGCCGACUCCAUGGUUAAAAGCUUACUCACUACCUCAACUGGGAAACUCAAAAUUGGGGUAAAAAAAUCAAGGUUGGGACAUGGAAGGAGGGAGCAUGAAAGGUUAUUGGCAAACAUGGGGUGGGUUGGCAGCAUAUAAAGAUAUGUUAGAAAGGGUUAGGUCGGCAGAACGUCGGCAGCAGAGAAAGAUGGGAAAAUUUUAGAAACUAUUUUAGGUCGGGAGAAAGAUGGGGAAGAGAGGGAGAGACCGAGGGUCACAAAAAAAAUUGGAAAAAUGAAAGAAUAAAAUUUUUACUACAAAAUAAACUAAAAUUCUUCUCUCUACUAAAAAAAAAAUGAAAGAAUAAAAGUUUAAAAAUAAUUAGCAUAUAAAAUAGAUUAGUUAAACUAGGGUUAUUUGUAAACACAUCAGUUUUCAUUCCGAUUCAUGUGAAUUAGCAAACAAGUUAUAUAGAUCCAUGUCAUUCCUACUCCGAUUCCGGAUAGUUUUAGUAAACAACUUCAACAGUAAUCUGAUUCUGAUUCCACCUCAUUCUAAUUCCUCCUCAAUUCAAUUUAUUUCAAUAUGAUUACUGAUUAGUAAACGUGUCAUAAGUACACAUGAUUUUUUUCUAGUAGAAUUGCUCCAUAAUUGUGAUUCAUAAUUCGACGGUAAAGUAGAGAUUAAUAUAAAUAUAUACAUACAGUUUAUAACAGAAAUUCAAAUUAAAUAUAUACCUUGUCCCUUGCGGAUCAAAUAUUACUAGAUAUGGAUGUGUCAAACACAAAUCACAGCAAGCUAUAAUAAUGUGCUAAGCAUAUGUUUUCAAUCUCAAUCAGCGAUGUGUGAGAACCAGAAUAUGAUCAAAGUUUUGACACGAUUUGGUCGUAGGGUCCAUUCCCAGUCCUAUAAAUCACCAUCGCUUGAAGCUAGCUAGUUUCACAUACUUCUGCAUGCAGCCUCUGGUGUGGUGAAAAAUCUGAAAAGGGCCCCGGCUGUAUGCAUCAUGCAUAUGCAUGGACUCUGUUUUUAACAUUUAUAUUUUGGUUUUAACCUGAAAAUGUUCUUUUGUAUAAUGGUAUUCUAACAAGAAUCUUAUAUAUAUAUAUAUAUAUAUAUAUAUAUAUCAUAAUAAUAUAUGUAUAUAUCUUAUGAUAUUGUAAAAGCAAGAUCAUUUGAUCAAUUAAGUUGAUUUUUGUCAUAUAUGUUCUCUAAAUUCAUAGUUGUACAAGAUAAGUAUGUUCUGAUAAAAUAAAUCCUGAAAGAAAAGGUUGCUAUAUAUAUGUAAUCAAUGACUUAAAUAUAAAUUUUAAUUCUGUUUGAUUAGUUUAAUGUAAUAGCUAAUGACAUCUAAUUUUAUUAUUAUAGAAAUUAUUAAUCGACCCGAACCAAUAAUCAAUUAUCACAGAUAUCAUUUUAUCUACCUACAACUUGGUUGUAGUUGAGAUCACGUAAUCAAAAGUACCAUUAUUAUUUAUCUUCCUGUAUGUACUAAUAGCGACAAGGGGAUAAGGAAUGAAAGGUGGGAGCUACACGUUAUUUGUUAGUCUGAUGUGUUAAUAUUUUGAACUUACUAAAUUCUUGGUAGAACUUUUAGCCUUAGAUUUCUACACCAUAAAACUUAAAUUACUAGGGGAUUGACCAUCAGUGGGCAUUUAGAUAUGUUAAGGUGUGGAUUUUUAUCAAAAGUUAUUUAAAAAUUAAAAAAAUUAUUACUUAUUCUUGCAGCACACAUGUUCAUAUUGAACUUAUAAAAUUCUCCUUAAAAAACGUAUAAUAUAUAAGAAAAUGACACAUAUCUUUGUACACCACGUUUUAAGAGUAUCCAUGUGAUGUGGAACUAAAAAAAUAAUCCUAAAAAUCAUGGAGCUGACAUGUAGAUUAUUUUUCAAGAAAGACAAGAUUGCCCCUAUUAAAUGAGCAGGAAGCGGCCUCAUUCACCACGCUUAGCUGAGGUAGAGCAGGCAGAGAUCAACAACUGCUCAAGACACCCCUGCUCGUAGGAAAAGUCAAAAAUAUUUAUAAUAGAAUAAUUCCUUAUUCUUAUCAUAAAUACAUUCCUAAUCAGAGAAGACCUCUUUCAAGUAAGUUAUCUUAAUUCCAUUUAUUUAUGAUAUUUACCUAUUUAUUCUAAGAUAUUUAUGUAUUUACACAAAUAUCUUAGAAUAUUCUUGUAAUACCCUAAAAAUAAAAAAUGUAUGAAUAUGUGGAGUAAAUCAUAAUAAAUAGAUUUAUGGUUAUGAAAAUUUGAUUAGAGAAAUUUUAGAAUUUUGUUUCCGGGAUUUAUUAUAAUUUACAUCAAAAAAUUUAUUGAUAAGUGGAAAAGACGAAAAUGCCCCUAGUUGACUAAAUGUAAUUUUAUGAGGACGUAUUUUACCAUCAUAUAUUUUAUCAUAUUUCUUGAUAUAAUUGGGUAGAGCUCGACCCUACGAAAGCGUGGGCGAAAACCGUUUGUGAAUCGGAGUUGAAAUGAAGAAAUUAGAGGUUUUAAAUAAUAAAAAAUAAAAAUAAAGGAAAAAAGAAAGAGGAGUCUGGAAGCUGCUAGAUGGCAAC
rnacentral:lncRNA from 1 species